rnacentral:rRNA from 1 species
AUACGUAGGGGGCGAGCGUUGUCCGGAUUUACUGGGCGUAAAGGGUGAGUAGGCGGUUGCAUAUGUCAGAUGUAAAAGGCACAGGCUCAACUUGUGUUAGCAUUUGAAACUGUGCGACUUGAGUGCAGGAGAGGUAAGUGGAAUUCCUAGUGUAGCGGUGAAAUGCGUAGAUAUUAGGAGGAACACCAGUGGCGAAGGCGACUUACUGGACGAUAACUGACGCUGAGGCUCGAAAGCGUGGGGAGC